AACGAACGCUGGCGGCAUGCCUAACACAUGCAAGUCGAACGAGACCUUCGGGUCUAGUGGCGCACGGGUGCGUAACGCGUGGGAACCUGCCCUUAGGUUCGGAAUAACUCCCCGAAAGGGGUGCUAAUACCGGAUAAUGUCUUCGGACCAAAGAUUUAUCGCCUUUGGAUGGGCCCGCGUUGGAUUAGCUAGUUGGUAGGGUAAAAGCCUACCAAGGCGACGAUCCAUAGCUGGUUUGAGAGGAUGAUCAGCCACACUGGGACUGAGACACGGCCCAGACUCCUACGGGAGGCAGCAGUGGGGAAUAUUGGACAAUGGGCGAAAGCCUGAUCCAGCAAUGCCGCGUGAGUGAUGAAGGCCUUAGGGUUGUAAAGCUCUUUUUCCCGGGAUGAUAAUGACAGUACCGGGAGAAUAAGCUCCGACUAACUCCGUG
rnacentral:rRNA from 1 species